rnacentral:rRNA from 1 species
UACGGAGGAUGCAAGCGUUAUCGGGAAUGAUUGGGCGUAAAGCGUCCGCAGGUGGCACUUCAAGUCUGUCGUCAAAGACUGGGGCUUAACCCUGGAAAGGCGGUGGAAACUGAAGCGCUAGAGUGCGGUAGGGGUAGAGGGAAUUCCCGGUGUAGCGGUGAAAUGCGUAGAGAUCGGGAAGAACAUCGGUGGCGAAAGCGCUCUACUGGACCGCAACUGACACUCAGGGACGAAAGCUAGGGGAGCGAAUGGG